CUCCUGCUCCCGCGGCUCCUCUCCUCCUCACCUCCGCCUCCUCCACCUCCGCCUCGCAUUGCUGGCCUCAGCCGCCGCCGACCAGCACAGGGCUUUGCAGAAGAUAGGUUCUACAGCAUCUGUUACAAAGAACCAGGAAGCAGUCAGUCUUACCUAUUAAUGUAAGCUGAGAAAGGAAGCCCUAUCCCAUGAACCAACUCUGCUGUGGGGUCUCUGGGUCACAGGAGAUCUUUUGGAGAUUGUUUGAGCCCACAGCACCAUGGCUGGAUUUAUAGCUAGUGGGACAGCACACAGCCUCCAUUGCGUGCUGCGGGAAUACUCCGAGGAGGACAUUAAAGUUUAUCACCGAGGUUCAGGUGCCAGGGAUGGCCAAACCUUUUAUUUCAGAGACUGCUGCAGGGCAUGAUAGUUUUCUACCCUGAAGAUCCUGCAGACACAUGGUACUGAUGCUCCUUUCUGUCUGGAAAUUUUCUCCACUGCCAAAGCCUCAAGGUCUUCCAAGUUCUUCCAGUUUCCCCUUCUUUACAAAAUGCCCAAGUCUCACGCUGCUGCAUAGUUGUUGGAAACGUUAAUACGAUCUGCAGCUUUUAUGCAGGUGAGUAUUCACUGCAACAUCCUAUACAAGUUCAAGUUUGGUGGUGUGGCUUUCUCCUCAAAUGGGUAUUAAGUCUGGUAUAAGGUUUGCUGAUUGCAGAAUGGUGUUGGCCACUGCCCUGCUAUGAUACCCGCAUAUCAGAACUACAUUUGGAUAAAGAGGUUCAAGAGAAAAUUAUUAGAGCAGCCACAGAAAAUAACUAAACUGUCAUGUUCCUCUUCAGGACAUGGUCUAAAGUCUUACGACCAGCAGCCAUCCAAAUAGUGUUACCUUCUGCCUUUGUCCAUUAGCCUCCAGUAAAAACACAACUGCAGGUAUGUUUCCAGAUGAGAACCUUUAUCUUCUGCCAUUUCCAAACUCUAUGGAAAAUUAACUGCCUGGAAUCAGUUAUGUAAGAAAACGGGAAUUUGAAUUUUUGUAUGCAAGUACGAACUUAAACCAAGCAAACCAUUAUUUGUAUUUUAUUUGCUCUAUAAAAAGGUCUAGGAAUACAAAGAACUUUGUGCUGAAUAUAAAAAUGGCAUUUUCCUUCCAGGUGUCCAUAGAUAUACUGGUUUAAUUUGAAAAUGAAUGUAAAACCUUAACUUUGUUUUGCUGAAAAGCUCUCUCAUUAUAAAAAGGAUGAGGAAAAAAAGGGCGAACUAGUUUCUCUUUGUUUCAAGCUCUCUACUUUAAAUCCAUGUUGCAUAUGAAGCAGCAAACAAAAAUUCUACGGAAUGUAGAAAGUUCCUACGCCUAUAAAAAGUCGCAAUAAUACAACACCGACCUGCAGAACAAUGACACUGACAUGAAAGGAUUUUCAUUCCUAAGAAGUACCGGGAGAAAUGGGAGCUGAGGAAUACAUGUGUUCUAGCCUCAUACCUAAUGACAUGCAUUUAUCUUUUGCAGGGCUGAUUUCCAGUGGCACAGACCUACUAACCCAAAAGGUGCUUCCUCCCUGGGAGACUAAGCUGCAGCAGCACAGGUUGCUCCAGGUUAGACAGUGGGCUGGAGGCUGAGCGGUAACUUAGGUCUAGGUGAGAGAGAGGAAUAUGGAUUUAAUACUAUAAACUACAUAUAAUGCUACAUUUAAUAUACUGUUCCUGUUCUCACAAGGCGAAACUGCAUUCUCCAUUAACUGCAAUUUUUACAUAGUUUUAAUAAAGAUAAUUCACCAUUGAAAAAAAAGGUAAAAAACCAUUUUUAAUAUCCACAGUUCAUUAAGGUAUGAACAAAAUUGCUGCUUCCCAGGCUCUUUAUCACUGCAUCUUUCUUAGACUUGUAUCCUCAAGAUUCAUUUUUCUAAAUGGCAUAAUUUUAGCAGAAAGUAAGGUCAGUGCACUCCCGGAUUGCACAGUGCCUAUCCCUCCUGCAAAUGUACAGGGAUAUGCAGAUGCUCAGCACCUCUGGAAGCCAGGCUUGCUAUGCUGCUGAAGCAAACGUGCAGAGCAUGAAUACUGCAAUUACCAGAGAAUUCAAAAAAAGUAAAUCUGUUUUUUUCAAAGUAAAAUAAAACUGGGAAAUUAAAAAAUUUCCUGAGGUGCUCUUUUUGAUCAAUUACAACUUUGGCUUCAUUUCCAUUUAGGCAUUUCUUUUAUUGUACAAUGCAAAAUAUCAACUACAUUGUGAGUAACAUAAAAGCUUUUUCUCCAGACAGGAAUGCCAGAACACUUCCAUUGUUUUGGGCUUUUUUUUCAAACACAUUUUUUAGUAAAUACAAUUUUACAAAGCAGUUAAUCUCAGUAGCACUAAAUUCUCCAAUAGAAAAGGGGAUUGAUGUUUUUUUGGUAAUAGAAAUUAUAUAGUCUGGUAAUUUUCACAUUUAAAAGUUUUAUAGUUCUAUUUAAAUCUUUCCUUUUUUUUUUU